rfam:Daphnia pulex DAPPTscaffold_214_Cont7257, whole genome shotgun sequence.
CAUGUCUUGUCAGCCUUCUCUACUCGAACACAUCUGGAUCAUUUGUUGACCUGCCCAUUCGGGAGGAAAGUCCCCGGACCUAGACCAGAAAGUGGCAAAUUAUAAAAUUCACACCCUGACUCUAGCGGACAUUAACGGUCAAGACGAACCUUGUGGUCCAGCUCAUCUGCGAGUCAGGCGAUAGUCACAACACAGUCAAUAGAAGGAGCUGAUGUUAUCAGCCAACUCAACGGGGCUCAUUCGACAAGACCAU